rnacentral:ncRNA from 2 species
GCCUCAUCACAGGGGUGCAUCCGUUUUGCGGAUUGCUGAGAUCAUACCCAAAACCUGAUCAGGGUAAUGCCUGCGUAGGGAAAGGUAAAACUUUUUUU